rnacentral:rRNA from 1 species
CGACUUAUAUUCUGUAGCAAGGUUAACCGUAUAGGGGAGCCGAAGGGAAACCGAGUCUUAACUGGGCGUUAAGUUGCAGGGUAUAGACCCGAAACCCGGUGAUCUAGCCAUGGGCAGGUUGAAGGUUGGGUAACACUAACUGGAGGACCGAACCGACUAAUGUUGAAAAAUUAGCGGAUGACCUGUGGCUGGGGGUGAAAGGCCAAUCAAACCGGGAGAUAGCUGGUUCUCCCCGAAAGCUAUUUAGGUAGCGCCUCGUGAACUCAUCUUCGGGGGUAGAGCACUGUUUCGGCUAGGGGGCCAUCCCGGCUUACCAACCCGAUGCAAACUACGAAUACCGAAGAAUGUUAUCACGGGAGACACACGGCGGGUGCUAACGUCCGUCGUGAAGAGGGAAACAACCCAGACCGCCAGCUAAGGUCCCAAAGUCAUGGUUAAGUGGGAAACGAUGUGGGAAGGCACAGACAGCCAGGAUGUUGGCUUAGAAGCAGCCAUCAUUUAAAGAAAGCGUAAUAGCUCACUGGUCGAGUCGGCCUGCGCGGAAGAUGUAACGGGGCUAAACCAUGCACCGAAGCUGCGGCAGCGACACUUAUGUGUUGUUGGGUAGGGGAGCGUUCUGUAAGCCGUUGAAGGUGUGCUGUGAGGCAUGCUGGAGGUAUCAGAAGUGCGAAUGCUGACAUAAGUAACGAUAAAGCGGGUGAAAAGCCCGCUCGCCGGAAGACCAAGGGUUCCUGUCCAACGUUAAUCGGGGCAGGGUGAGUCGACCCCUAAGGCGAGGCCGAAAGGCGUAGUCGAUGGGAAACAGGUUAAUAUUCCUGUACUUGNUGCGAAAGCGUGGGGAGCAAACAGGAUUAGAUACCCUGGUAGUCCACGCCGUAAACGAUGUCGACUUGGAGGUUGUGCCCUUGAGGCGUGGCUUCCGGAGCUAACGCGUUAAGUCGACCGCCUGGGGAGUACGGCCGCAAGGUUAAAACUCAAAUGAAUUGACGGGGGCCCGCACAAGCGGUGGAGCAUGUGGUUUAAUUCGAUGCAACGCGAAGAACCUUACCUACUCUUGACAUCCAGAGAACUUUCCAGAGAUGGAUUGGUGCCUUCGGGAACUCUGAGACAGGUGCUGCAUGGCUGUCGUCAGCUCGUGUUGUGAAAUGUUGGGUUAAGUCCCGCAACGAGCGCAACCCUUAUCCUUUGUUGCCAGCGGUUAGGCCGGGAACUCAAAGGAGACUGCCAGUGAUAAACUGGAGGAAGGUGGGGAUGACGUCAAGUCAUCAUGGCCCUUACGAGUAGGGCUACACACGUGCUACAAUGGCGCAUACAAAGAGAAGCGACCUCGCGAGAGCAAGCGGACCUCAUAAAGUGCGUCGUAGUCCGGAUUGGAGUCUGCAACUCGACUCCAUGAAGUCGGAAUCGCUAGUAAUCGUGGAUCAGAAUGCCACGGUGAAUACGUUCCCGGGCCUUGUACACACCGCCCGUCACACCAUGGGAGUGGGUUGCAAAAGAAGUAGGUAGCUUAACCUUCGGGAGGGCGCUUACCACUUUGUGAUUCAUGACUGGGGUGAAGUCGUAACAAGGUAACCGUAGGGGAACCUGCGGUUGGAUCACCU